UAAAUUUGGUGCCAAAUUUGGUUGAUUUGAAGCGUCUUGUUGACUGAAUUUGGAUUAUUAGGUACCACAAACUGGUUUGAAGGGUAGGGACCAUUUUCUAGCUUAUUAUUUAUGAUAUUUAAGGAUUGCCUAUAUAUGUAUCUCUAAAAGCCUAUGAAAAGAUUAUUAUCUUCUUUAAUUUAUUAGAUCAUCAUUUUCAAACUUCAGACUAGAUAGGGGCCUUUCUACUUAACAUCAUCAAUGGCAGAAGUAAUCAAGAGGCUUGGAAAAUGGAGGGAGAUCGGUUUUUGUAGUUGGCGGACUGUGCUCUGUGACCAUCUAGCUGGAUUCUGUGGUGUGUAACUAGAAACUGCAAAAUGGGGGUGAGUUAAGAGGCGUCGUAGCUUGUGUCGGGACGCUCUCUUAAUUCGGUAUUUAGUAAAGAAAAAGCAAGGUUGAAAGCAAUAAUAGAGUAAAAAUAUACGUGGAAGAGGUCAUAUUUGAAAAGAUGUUAAAGCUUCGCAUUUAUAAUCGAUUUAUGGGCUACUCAAAUCUGAAUACUACUCUUUGAUUGGUUAA